UGGGGAAUUUUGGACAAUGGGCGAAAGCCUGAUCCAGCAAUGCCGCGUGUGUGAAGAAGGCCUUCGGGUUGUAAAGCACUUUUGUCCGGAAAGAAAUCCUUGGCUCUAAUACAGUCGGGGGAUGACGGUACCGGAAGAAUAAGCACCGGCUAACUACGUGCCAGCAGCCGCGGUAAUACGUAGGGUGCAAGCGUUAAUCGGAAUUACUGGGCGUAAAGCGUGCGCAGGCGGUUUGCUAAGACCGAUGUGAAAUCCCCGGGCUCAACCUGGGAACUGCAUUGGUGACUGGCAGGCUAGAGUAUGGCAGGAGGGGGGUAGAAUUCCACGUGUAGCAAGUGAAAUGCGUAGAGAUGUGGAGGAAUACCGAUGGCGAAGGCAGCCCCCUGGGCCAAUACUGACGCUCAUGCACGAAAGCGUGGGGAGCAAAACAGGAUUAGAUACCCUGGUAGUCCACGCCCUAAAACGAUGUCAACUAGUUGUUGGGGAUUCAUUUCCUUAGUAACGUAGCUAACGCGUGAAGUUGACC
rnacentral:rRNA from 1 species